rnacentral:rRNA from 1 species
AGUGAACGCUGGCGGUAGGCCUAACACAUGCAAGUCGAACGGCAGCACAGUAAGAGCUUGCUCUUACGGGUGGCGAGUGGCGGACGGGUGAGGAAUACAUCGGAAUCUACUUUUUCGUGGGGGAUAACGUAGGGAAACUUACGCUAAUACCGCAUACGACCUACGGGUGAAAGCAGGGGAUCUUCGGACCUUGCGCGAUUGAAUGAGCCGAUGUCGGAUUAGCUAGUUGGCGGGGUAAAGGCCCACCAAGGCGACGAUCCGUAGCUGGUCUGAGAGGAUGAUCGGCGACACUGGAGCUGAGACACGGUCCAGACUCCUACGGGAGGCAGCAGUGGGGAAUAUUGGACAAUGGUCGCAAGCCUGAUCCAGCCAUCCCGCGUGUGUGAAGAAGGCCUUCGGGUUGUAAAGCCCUUUUGUUGGGAAAGAAAAGCAGCAGGUUAAUACCCCGCUGUUCUGACGGUACCCAAAGAAUAAGCACCGGCUAACUUCGUG